rnacentral:rRNA from 1 species
UGGGGAAUUUUGGACAAUGGGCGAAAGCCUGAUCCAGCAAUGCCGCGUGUGUGAAGAAGGCCUUCGGGUUGUAAAGCACUUUUGUCCGGAAAGAAAUCCUUGGCUCUAAUACAGUCGGGGGAUGACGGUACCGGAAGAAUAAGCACCGGCUAACUACGUGCCAGCAGCCGCGGUAAUACGUAGGGUGCAAGCGUUAAUCGGAAUUACUGGGCGUAAAGCGUGCGCAGGCGGUUUGCUAAGACCGAUGUGAAAUCCCCGGGCUCAACCUGGGAACUGCGUUGGUGACUGGCAGGCUAGAGUAUGGCAGAGGGGGGUAGAAUUCCACGUGUAGCAGUGAAAUGCGUAGAGAUGUGGAGGAAUACCGAUGGCGAAGGCAGCCCCCUGGGCCAAUACUGACGCUCAUGCACGAAAGCGUGGGGAGCAAACAGGAUUAGAUACCCUGGUAGUCCACGCCCUAAACGAUGUCAACUAGUUGUUGGGGAUUCAUUCCUUAGUAACGUAGCUAACGCGUGAAGUUGACCGCCUGGGGAGUACGGUCGCAAGAUUAAAACUCAAAGGAAUUGACGGGGUCAUAGCUGUUUCCU